rnacentral:rRNA from 1 species
UGAGGAAUAUUGGUCAAUGGGCGCAAGCCUGAACCAGCCAUCCCGCGUGAAGGAUGAAGGCCCUAUGGGUCGUAAACUUCUUUUAUACACAAAGAAAAAGCAGGACGUGUACUGCCCCGACGGUAGUGUAUGAAUAAGCAUCGGCUAACUCCGUGCCAGCAGCCGCGGUAAUACGGAGGAUGCAAGCGUUAUCCGGAUUCAUUGGGUUUAAAGGGUGCGUAGGCGGCUUUUUAAGUCAGUGGUGAAAUCUUGACGCUUAACGGUAAAAUUGCCAUUGAUACGGAUAAGCUUGAAUGCAAUUGAGGUAAGCGGAAUGUGUCGUGUAGCGGUGAAAUGCUUAGAUAUUACACAGAACACCGAUUGCGAAGGCAGCUUACUAAACUGUUACUGACGCUGAUGCACGAAAGCGUGGGGAGCGAACA